rnacentral:lncRNA from 1 species
GCGCCUUUUGGGUUAGAGUCCAAGGGGACAAAACCAUGAGAUCCAAAAUCUUGAGGUGGCCGAAAAUGGUUGAGCCAUAGCAGACAAUACCUUGGCAGUUUUGCAUGAGCCGUUCCAGAACCAAAUCACUGGAAUAAUUGUUUAAAACAGUAAUUAGCUAAUCAUGUUUAAUUCAUCAUUUCCCUCAAUAACCUUUUUAACUAAAUAACAUAUACCAGCAUUAGUGCCAUAUAUAAAGUGUCACUUAUAUUGGAAAUUAAGAGAGAGCAUAACAUUCAUGAACUAAACUCAAACAAGCAUCUCCCAACACUUAAAUGUAUUGAGAAGAUACGUAUUUUAUUCUUGAAGCCAAAUGCAAAUUUGGCUACAAUUAACACAUAUUAUUGCAAACAUAAUUAAUCCUUCAAUUUGGCAAUGCAACAAGUACAAGAACCACAUUGAGGGACACAAACUCUGCAAUAGGAUAUGACAUCAAGAUUAUGAUCAGUUGUUUUCAGUUGAUCAGCAGCAGACUGGGAUAAGAGGAUUCUGUGUGUUGGAUUAUCAAUAAUAUUACGUGAGCUAGCACUUUGGUUGAAGCAAAGUGUAGAUAAAACAAUGAAAAUGGCAAAAAUUGCUAAUAUGGUUCUUGCCAUUGCACUAGUAGAUACUAUAUAGGCUAGUAUUG